rnacentral:lncRNA from 1 species
CACGUGGGGAGAUGGAGGCCAUGUUUUCUGCCAUUUUCUUUUGACCUCUUCCACGUUCUUUUGUUGUAGAAAAGUGGGGAGCCCCCCCUUGUUUUGCACGUUUCCCCCUUUUGUAGGAAGGGAUUCACAUCCUGUUUACUUUUAUCAUGAUAUUUAUUUUUUAUUUUUAAUUUAUUUAUGGAUGUUUGACUUGUAUGUAAAGCUCAUCCUCAUUUUUUGGGCUAAAUUACAUUUUUGUUUUGCCUUGUAAUUUGACCCAAUUUGUAUGGACUCUAUUUUUUUUUUUAUGUUGUAUAUUUUUGUUGUUCAACACUUUGGGCCCAUGGGUUGUGUAUUUGUAUAUAUUGCUUUUUGGAUUGUAAUAAAAAGCUUGCUUACCAAAAAAAUAAAAAAAAUAAAAAAAGAUAAGAUCAGAAAUCCUUAUUUGCAUCCCAAAACCCCAUAAGACCAUCUCCAACCCUGAUCUAAAACUUAAAAAUAUUUAACCCAGAAAAUUUAGGUUUUAGCCCAAAAACAACUUUUCUUCUCCAACCUUUAUGGCCUAAAAUUUUAACCCCAGAUUAUUAAAGAAUGAAUUUAGGCUAUUUUUUUAAUUAAUUAAAAAAAUAUGUAGACUAUCCUAUAUUAAUUUUAUGAACAUUUUAACCUAAAAAUAUUUAAAUUCCGAUAAAUUUUGAAAAAUCACUAAAUCAAUACAUGAAAAUCAUGAUAAACCACAUAAACUUAAUACAAACGACAUUUAAUAAACCAUAUAAACUUAAUACAAAUGACAAUUAAUAAACCACA